rnacentral:rRNA from 1 species
ACCUACGGGUGGCAGCAGUGGGGAAUAUUGCACAAUGGGCGCAAGCCUGAUGCAGCCAUGCCGCGUGUAUGAAGAAGGCCUUCGGGUUGUAAAGUACUUUCAGCGAGGAGGAAGGCGUUAAGGUUAAUAACCUUAGCGAUUGACGUUACUCGCAGAAGAAGCACCGGCUAACUCCGUGCCAGCAGCCGCGGUAAUACGGAGGGUGCAAGCGUUAAUCGGAAUUACUGGGCGUAAAGCGCACGCAGGCGGUCUGUUAAGUCAGAUGUGAAAUCCCCGGGCUCAACCUGGGAACUGCAUUUGAAACUGGCAGGCUUGAGUCUUGUAGAGGGGGGUAGAAUUCCAGGUGUAGCGGUGAAAUGCGUAGAGAUCUGGAGGAAUACCGGUGGCGAAGGCGGCCCCCUGGACAAAGACUGACGCUCAGGUGCGAAAGCGUGGGGAGCAAACAGGAUUAGAUACCCUAGUAGUCG